CACUCAUUUCCCCCAGUCUUAAAUUGAGUUAUCCAGAUUUUCACAUCUUAUUAAAAAAACAAAUAAACACUGAAGGUAAAAUCUCCAGUUGCCCCAUCUAUCAUCGGAGGGGGAGCUGAGGGGAGAUGGUUUCCACACCUUGCCUUGGAGUGUCUAUAAGGAAGGGAAUUGUUCUGUCCUUCCAGGGAUCAGUGAGCUUUGACAAGUGUCCUUGCAUUUCGCUGACGACAACUGGGCCCUACGGAGAGCUCUGUACAAGGACGUCAUGGUGGAGGUUCAUGAGAUGGUGGCCUCUCAGGGAGAUGUUUGGGGGUCCUGGAUGAGGAGGAGCCAUCAGAAGUCUGGCCAGAAAGAGGUGAGGAGCAAGAGAAGGAAAGGAAGUUGGGGGUUCAAGAUGGAGCCAACAAACAAGAGGGGAGAGAAACAGUGAAGCCAAGGGAUGAACACAGUGUUUCCCAAGAAGAUGAAAAUCAGAUUAACAGGGUGGAGAAAAAACAUGAAUGUACUGUGUGCGGAAAGAGAUUCUGUAGUCGCUCAGCCCUUGCUAGACAUCAAAGCGUACACUCAGGUGAAAAACCUUAUGAAUGCAUGGAGUGUGGAAAGAGAUUCAG